ensembl:lncRNA
UUCUCAGUGUCCUAACUGCAGGGAAAGACCGCAUUGUUCUCUGGCCUUCUGGCGACAGUCAAGGUUAAAAUGAACCAACCCUCCUGAGUGCAGGUGGGGCACAGACACUCAGCAAACAGCGGCCUGGGUGUGCAGAGGAACCAGAGGCUUGCUGGGAGCCAUCUAAGCUGCAGGCCAACAACGCGGGAAGUAGUCCACGAUUGGGACACCAUUGCAGGUGGCCUGCUUCCCUGUGCAUCUGCGUGUCUCCAAAUCUCCCUCUCCUGAUCAGGACACCAGUCACUGGAUUUGGGGUCUACUCUGAUCCGGUACGACCACAUCUUGAUUACACCUGCAAAGACCUUACUUCCAAAUAAGGCCAUGUUCACAGGUACCGCAGGUUAGGACUUCAACACGUCUUUUUGGGAGAAACGAUUCAACUCGCAAUAGUCUCUCAUCCCGUUCCCCUUUAAGAGGAACCAGGUCUCCCCGGGGAAAUAGUUAAUUUCAGAGCUGGAGAAGGGCGGGGUGCAAGAGGAGCCUGGAAUAUCUUGUUCUACCAGAAAGUAACGAAGUGCUAAAAAACAAAUGAUGGGAGCAUAUCACAGGGAUGCAAGAGGCUGAGGGCUGACAAGAAAAUGUGGAGGGAAUGCUGGAAUCAGGAAAUCAUUUUGCAGCCAUCGUGGUGAUGAUCAGAUCAGCCAAGAAUCUCAGUGGACGCUCAAUCUCAGGAGAAACUUUGAUAAGGAGCCAAAUAUUUGAUUGUCUUAAGAGUGUCUCCUCACAUACAACUUACUAAUGCGAAGGAAGGGGAUAAACAGUAAAUACAGUGGAGAAAUUGGGCCACACAUUGACCAAGUGAUCAAAAUGAACAUCACCAACGAGGGGUAGAUGGAUAUUGUAUGCUCCAGUUGUGACACCCUACAGGACGCAGCGUCACCUAGACAGUUGUCUGCUCGAGAACACGUAACUUUGGUCUAUUCAGGAGGAAACACCAGAAAAACCCCAAACAAGAAACGUGCAGCUAACUAAGUGUGUGUGUGACUAUAUUUUUCAAAAAUGGCAAUGUUUAUAGUCAAAGUCCUAGAGAUAGAAAGUAGAAUGGUGGUUGCCGGGGACUGAGGGGAGUGGAAUGGGGAGUCAGUGUUUACCGGGGACAGUUUCCGUUGGGGAAGAUGAACAAGUUCUGGAGAUGGAAGAUGGUGAUGGUUGCACGAGAAUAUGAAUGUAGUUAGUGUCACAGAAGUGUACAUCUAAAAGCAGUUAAAAUGGUAAACUUUAUGUUAUAUAUAUUUUACCCCAAUAAAAAAGUGGCAAUGUUAUGAAAGGCAAAUAAAAGCUGUGGGAAUGUUCCAGAUUAAAGGACAUUAAAGAGACAUGACAAUUCAGUACCUGACUCUAGAUUGGCUCCUGUAACGGUAGGGAAAGAAUGCCAUAAAGGACGUUAGGUCAGCUGACAACACUGCAACUGGAAUAUGGAUGGCAGAUUAAAGUAUUGCCUCAAUGUAAAUUUAGGAGGUUGAUAACUGGACAGAGGUUAUGGAAAAGAAUAUCCCUAUUCCUAGGAAAUACACACUGAAAUGUUCUAUGUGACUUACUCUUAAAUAGUUCAGACAAAUAUCAUGUAUCACCUACACAGCACACACACACACACACACACACACACAUCAAGAGAGAGUGAUAAAGCAAUUGAGGUAAAAUGUUAACAAUAGUUGAAUCUGAAUAAGGGUAUACAGGUUUAUUGCAUUAUUUUAUUUUCGCAGUUUUUUGUCAAUUUGAAAUGAUCUCCAAAUGAAAAAUAAAAAACAGGAAAACCCCAAUGAGUUAAUUCUUUUCACUCCAUUCUCUCUUGAACCCACUCUAGUCUGGCUGUCUGUCCUACA